rnacentral:rRNA from 1 species
CUACGGGUUGCUCCAGUGGGGAAUAUUGCACAAUGGAGGAAACUCUGAUGCAGCAACGCCGCGUGGAGGAUGACACUUUUCGGAGCGUAAACUCCUUUUAUAUAGGAAGAAGAUGACGGUACUAUAUGAAUAAGCGCCGGCUCAACUCCGUGCCAGCAGCCGCGGUAAUACGGAGGGCGCAAGCGUUACUCGGAAUCACUGGGCGUAAAGAGCGUGUAGGCGGAUUAAAAAGUCAGAAGUGAAAUCCUAUAGCUUAACUAUAGAACUGCUUCUGAAACUCUUAAUCUAGAAUAUGGGAGAGGUAGAUGGAAUUUCUGGUGUAGGGGUAAAAUCCGUAGAGAUCAGAAGGAAUACCGAUUGCGAAGGCGAUCUACUAGAACAUUAUUGACGCUGAGACGCGAAAGCGUGGGGAGCAAACAGGAUUAGAUACCCCCGUAGUC